CAAAUUAUAGCUUAAAAAUUAAGUAUUUCAUUUACAUUGAAAAGAAAUUAUUAAAUUAAUUAAUUUGA
rnacentral:tRNA from 1 species